AAUAGAUACCCGGUAGUCCACGCCGUAAACGAUGAGUGCUAAGUGUUAGGGGGGUUUCCACCCCUUAGUGCUGCAGCUAACGCAUUAAGCACUCCGCCUGGGGAGUACGGUCGCAAGACUGAAACUCAAAGGAAUUGACGGGGGCCCGCACAAGCGGUGGAGCAUGUGGUUUAAUUCGAAGCAACGCGAAGAACCUUACCAGGUCUUGACAUCCCGCUGACCGCUAUGGAGACAUAGCCUUCCCUUCGGGGACAGCGGUGACAGGUGGUGCAUGGUUGUCGUCAGCUCGUGUCGUGAGAUGUUGGGUUAAGUCCCGCAACGAGCGCAACCCUUGUCCUUAGUUGCCAUCAUUCAGUUGGGCACUCUAAGGAGACUGCCGUACAAAUACGGAGGAAGGUGGGGAUGACGUCAAAUCAUCAUGCCCCUUAUGACCUGGGCUACACACGUGCUACAAUGGACGGUACAAACGGUCGCGAAGUCGCGAGACGGAGCCAAUCCGAAAAAACCGUUCUCAGUUCGGAUUGCAGGCUGCAACUCG
rnacentral:rRNA from 1 species